UACGUAGGGAGCGAACGUUGUCCGGAAUCAUUUGGGUCGUAAAGCGCGCGUAGGCGGCCUCAUAAGUCCGUUGUUGAAAGUCAAAAGGCUCAACCUUUGAAAGCCGGUGGAUACUGUGGGGCUAGAGUCCGGAAGAGGCGAGUGGAAUUCCUGGUGUAGCGGUGGAAUGCGCAGAUAUCAGGAGGAACACCAAUAGCGAAGGCAGCUCGCUGGGACGGUACUGACGCUAAGGCGCGAAAGCGUGGGAGCAAACAGG
rnacentral:rRNA from 1 species